rnacentral:rRNA from 1 species
AAAAGAGCGCAAGGGGAAUGCCUUGGCAUCAGGAGCCGACGAAGGACGUGACAAGCUGCGAUAAGCCACGGGGAGGAGCAAAUAUCCGUUAUAUCCGUGGAUUUCCGAAUGGGGGAACCCGCUCAAGCAAUACUUGAGCAUCGUGCGUUGAAUCAAAUAGGCGUACGAAGGGAACGGCCUGAACUGAAACAUCUAAGUAGGGCCAGGAAAAGACAUCAACCGAGAUUCCGCUAGUAGUGGCGAGCGAACGCGGAGGAGGCCAAACCGAGGGACGCAAGUUCUUCGGGGUUGCGGACAGACAUCAAGACCAGAGGAAAUUAAGAGAACGGCGUGGGAAAGCCGGCCAUAGAAGGUGAGAGCCCUGUAUCUGAAAAUGAAGACUGGCAGUCUGGAUCCAGAGUACCGCGGGACACGUGAAACCCCGUGGGAAACCGGGUGGACCACCAUCCAAGCCUAAAUACUACCUGAUGACCGAUAGAGGAGCAGUACCGUGAGGGAAAGGUGAAAAGGACCCCGGGAGGGGAGUGAAAGAGAACCUGAAACCUUGUGCUUACAAGCAGUCAAAGCACGUUAAAGUGUGAUGACGUACUUUUUGUAGAACGGUCCGGCGAGUUAUAGUAACGAGCAAGCUUAAGGUAUUGAGUACCGGAGGCGAAGCGAGAGCGAGUCUGAAUAGGGCGUAAAGUUCGUUGCCAUAGACCCGAAACCGGGUGACCUAUCCAUGAGCAGGCUGAAGUGAGAGUAAAAUCUCAUGGAGGGCCGAACCGACCCCCGUUGCAAUGGUGGCGGAUGACUUGUGGAUAGCGGAGAAAUUCCAAUCGAACUCGGAGAUAGCUGGUUCUCCCCGAAAUAGCUUUAGGGCUAGCCUCGAUUUAGAUUACCGGGGGUAGAGCACUGAAUGGGCUAGGGGGCCACAAAGCUUACCGAACCCUAUCAAACUUCGAAUACCGGAUAAUUGAUGAUCGGGAGUCAGACAGUGUGAGAUAAGUUUCAUUGUCGAAAGGGAAACAGCCCAGAUCUACGACUAAGGUCCCAAAGUUCAAGUUAAGUGGAAAAGGAUGUGCAAUUGCGUAGACAACCAGGAUGUUGGCUUAGUAGCAGCCAUUCAUUCAAAGAGUGCGUAAUAGCUCACUGGUCGAGUGAUUGUGCGCCGAAAAUGUAACGGGGCUAAACUUGACACCGAAGUCUAGGCAGAAGGAAACUUCUGGGUAGGGGAGCAACGUGUACGGGCAGAAGCAGAAGCGGAAGCGACUGUGGACUGUACAGGAGAGAGAAUGCCGGCAUGAGUAGCGAGAGCAAAGUGAGAAUCUUUGCCGUCGAAAGCCUAAGGUUUCCUGAGGAAGGCUCGUCCUCUCAGGGUAAGUCGGGACCUAAGCCGAGGACAAUAGUCGUAGGCGAUGGACAAUCGGUUAAUAUUCCGAUACCGCCGAGCAACCGGAUGCAGUGACACAGAAGGAUAGGCAGAGCGUGGCGAUGGUAGACCACGUCCAAGCAGUGAGGCUGUUGUGUAGUGAAGUACGCACAACGUAAGGCUGGGCUGUGAUGGGGAACGAUUACGAUCGGUAAGCUGCUGAAUUCACGCUGGCGAGAAAAGCUGCUACGAAGCGAAGGCGCCCGUACCGCAAACCGACACAGGUAGGCGAGGAGAGAAUCCUAAGACGAGCGGGAGAACCCUUGUUAAGGAACUCGGCAAAAUGACUCCGUAACUUAGGGAGAAGGAGUGCCCAGGAAUGGGCCGCAGAGAAUAGACCCAAGCGACUGUUUACCAAAAACACAGGUCUGUGCGAAGUAGAGAUACGACGUAUACGGGCUGACACCUGCCCAGUGCCGGAAGGUUAAGGGGAAAUGUUAGGGCAACCGAAGCAUGGAACUUAAGCCCCGGUGAACGGCGGCCGUAACUAUAACGGUCCUAAGGUAGCGAAAUUCCUUGUCGGGUAAGUUCCGACCCGCACGAAUGGUGUAACGAUUUGGGUACUGUCUCAACAAGGGACCCGGCGAAAUUGUAGUAUGUGUGAAGAUGCACAUUACCCGCGAUAGGACGGAAAGACCCCGUAGAGCUUUACUGUAGUUUAACAUUGGAUUCCGGUAACAUAUGCACAGGAUAGGUGGGAGGCGGAGAAGCAGUGAUUUCGGUUGCUGCAGAGCCGACGUUGGGAUACCACUCUUGUGUUACUGGGGUUCUAACCUGUGGCCGUGAUCCGGCACAGGAACAGUGUUAGAUGGGCAGUUUGACUGGGGCGGUCGCCUCCAAAAGAGUAACGGAGGCGUCCAAAGGUUCCCUCAGAAUGGUUGGAAACCAUUCGAAGAGUACAAAGGCAGAAGGGAGCCUGACUGCGAGACCGACAGGUCGAGCAGGGACGAAAGUCGGGCUUAGUGAUCCGGCGGUAUAGAGUGGAAUUGCCGUCGCUCAACGGAUAAAAGCUACCUCGGGGAUAACAGGCUUAUCUCCCCCAAGAGUCCACAUCGACGGGGAGGUUUGGCACCUCGAUGUCGGCUCGUCGCAUCCUGGGGCUGGAGCAGGUCCCAAGGGUUUGGCUGUUCGCCAAUUAAAGCGGCACGCGAGCUGGGUUCAGAACGUCGUGAGACAGUUCGGUCCCUAUCCAUCGUGGGCGCAGGAGAUUUGAGAGGAGCUGUCCUUAGUACGAGAGGACCGGGAUGGACGCACCAAGGGUGAAUCAGUUGUCGUGCCAACGGCACAGCUGGGUAGCCAAGUGCGGAUCGGAUAAACGCUGAAGGCAUCUAAGCGUGAAGCCGACCUCAAGAUAAGAUCUCCCAUCCGAAAGGAGUAAGACCCCAUGAAGACCACAUGGUUGAUAGGCCGGAGGUGGAAGUGCAGUAAUGUACGGAGCUGACCGGUACUAAUAGGUCGAGGGCUUGAUCG